rnacentral:rRNA from 1 species
AUACGGAGGGUGCAAGCGUUGUUCGGAAUUACUGGGCGUAAAGCGCGUGUAGGCGGCUAGGUAAGUCGAAUGUGAAAGCCCUCGGCUCAACUGAGGAAGUGCAUCCGAUACUGCUUGGCUUGAGUCCCGGAGAGGGAUGUGGAAUUCCCGGUGUAGAGGUGAAAUUCGUAGAUAUCGGGAGGAACAUCAGUGGCGAAGGCGACAUCCUGGACGGUGACUGACGCUGAGACGCGAAAGCGUGGGUAGCAAACAGGAUUAGAUACCCUGGUAGUCCACGCUGUAAACGGUGUCCACUAGGUGAUGCGGGUAUUGACCCCUGCAGUGCCGCAGCUAACGCAUUAAGUGGACCGCCUGGGGAGUACGGCCGCAAGGUUAAA